rnacentral:tRNA from 6 species
GCACAGGCAGCUUAAUUGGUUGAGCGUAACACUGAAAAUGUUUAGAUUGUUGGUUCGAGUCCAAUCCUGGGCA